AAACUUAGAAAAGUGCUAUUUUGGUCAUUUUAGUUUUUGAGUAUUAUUUUUGUGAUAUAAACUUAGAAAUGUGCUAUUUUGGAGAUUUGCCUUUUUUUUAUCGGGAACAGGAUUAUACGUUCUUAUAAUUCUCUUAGUGCAAACAUUAUCGGCUUUUGAGGACUUCAAAUCUCUGAGGAAGUGACACGACGCUUGUGUGUCUAAAGCAUCCAAAAUUAGCAGGUUACGUGUUGAUUGUUCUUUAGGUUAAUCAUAUUUUAAACAUUUAAUUACCUCUGAUGUGAUUAGCUCAACACGUGAAACCAGACUACGUCGACACGUGUAUCUAGUUCUUACAUUAUUUUAUUUUCGAUCUACUAUUCGUUGAUUUUGAUGAUUUGCAUAACAUUGAAAUGUUGACUCACUCUAAAAAGGGUUUAAAAAGUAAGAUAUUUAUGUUCCUUCUCCUGAAAUUGGAUUUUUUUUUUUUUUUUUUAACUUAGCUUUCAAAUUUAAAAAGUAGAAAAAGAAAAUAAAUACAAGCCCAUAAACCAUGGUUUGUUGGAGCAGCGAGAGCUCAAUUACUUUCAACACACAUUACAGAUCAAAUAGGCAGUAAGCCCAAUAGUCAAACAAGAAGUGGAAGAGGCAGACUUCGAUCAUCACGAUCAGAUCCCAUGACGUAGUUAACGGAGGCUGUGCGAUCGGAAUAAGUUGAAGGAGGUGGUGAUAAAAACGCUCAGAUGAACCAUUGCUGCAUCAGUGUUGAAGAUCUUGAGGAGCUAGUAUGGCGAAGCGAAAGGAUCCUGUCUUUGAUCUGCCUAUCCAACGUACGCGAGAUUGAAUCAGCAGAGCGGUAGACUUGCCGGUGUAUCCGUGUGUUUCUCUCCCCCCAGGUCCAGUAUAUACAUCCUUGCCAGCAUAGACGAAGCAACAUACCAGUCGUCGAUCGAGGACUUGUCAAUUGAAUCUGCAUCAAAACACGAUCCCAAUUCUGUUCAGGGCGAAUCCCACACCUUGGAGCAAGGCGACCCCAAAUACUCCAGGAGUAUUGGCAGUUGAAGAAGAGAUGGUCUCUGGACUCUUCGGCUUGAUUGCACAAGACGCAAGCAGUAUCUGUUUGAAACCCCCACCCUCUGAUCAUGUCUCUAGUAGGGCACCGAUUCAAGACAAAGAGCCAAGUUAGGAAGUUGUGUCUGGGUAUCCCAGCUUUAUUCCAUACCGAUUCACACCAAGGCACCGAAGCUCCUGCGAGACAAAUCUUUUCAUAAAUUUUGCCCAUACUGGGGUAGCAUCCAGUUAUUGUUGAUAUGUAGAGUGGCUAGUGUAGCAUGAUCAGGAAUUCCCAGCGUGGAAGCGCUACCGUCAAGCAGAUAAGUUCUCAGGGAACCAUAAGGAGACCAAUUAUCACUCCAGAAGAGACAGGACUGGCCAUUCUGCACUCUUAGUUUUACACAACUGAAGAUUUCCGAGCUCAGUUUCAGGAGCUUGUUGACCUGCCAUGAGUAGCGACGGUUAGGGGGCGUGAUCCAAAGGUUGCUCAGGUUACCAUUCAACACCUCUGUCUUGAACCAAGCAACCCACACCGAACCUGACUGGAAGAACAAGAGCCAGAUAAGCUUGAGGCAACACGCCUUGUUCCAGAUGGAGAGGUUUUUAAUUCCCAAACCUCCUUCCCUCUUAGGUUUUGUGACUACUUCCCAUGAAACUCUCGCUGUAUGGUGUUGCUCUAUAUCCCCUUGCCAAAGAAAGACCCCACAAAGGGAAUUUAUCCUUUUUACGCAGGCUUGAGGAAGGAUAAAUGUUGAGCACCAGAACGUGGUUAUGCCAGUGAUAACUGUCUUGAUGAGCAGAAGACGUCCAGCAAAAGACAAGGAUUUAGCGCUCCAUGAUGAAAGCCUGCUUUUGAUCUGCUGAAGGAGUCCUUCAUAGUUUAAGAGUGACAAUUUCUUCGUGCAUAAGGGGACACCUAAGUAGCGGACCGGAAGAGUACCCAUAGGCAUGCCUGUUGAGAACUUGAUCAGGUCCGUUUCAGCUUCCGUCAUACCUGAGGCGAAGAAGGAUGAUUUUUGCACACUAACAGCAAGACCUGAUCGCAGUUCAAACUCUCGAAGUACCUGCAACACAGCUUGGACAGAGGCUAGGGAUCCAUCAAUGAAUAUCAACAAAUCAUCGGCAAAACUCAAAUGAGUGUGAGCUUAGAUGUCUGGCAUCUGAGGUGGUAGUUGAAUUUCAUCUCGCGGGCCGCACGGUUUAACAUAAGUGAGAGAUUAUUCAUAGCAAUCACAAAGAGAUAGGGUGAAAGCGGGUCACCUUGCCUCAAGCCCCUAGCCCCUUUGAAGUAGCCGUGCACGUAGACAUUGUAUCCUACUGUGAAGUUCGUCGUACAUAUACACGCUUUGAGCCAAGAGAGGAGCUUUUCAGGAAUGUUCAAGCUUUGGAGACAGGAGAAGAGGAAGCUCCAAGACUAGUCUGAUUCGGAACAAUGAGUGGGGGCAGGAUGAUCUUUAAUUUCUUCACAAACAACCGCGAGACAACCUUGUAGAUGGUGUUUAAGCACGAGAUAGGACGGUAGUCCGUGAUUAGUGAUGCACCCGGGUGCUUUGGAACCAAUGACAAGAUUGUUGCGUUGGUUGAGGCAGGCAUGAAAGAGGAGUGAAAGAACUGUUGGAUCGAUUGCAGAACCUCAGGGCCUAAGAUACUCCAUGAUGCUUUAUAGAACCCAGAAGUAAUGAGAGCAUCUGAGAGCGCUGACUAUCCGAGCAAGAGUAUCCCGUCAAUGACUGAAACCAGAGGGAGGAAGACACAAUUCUAACAGGAGGGGCAGGAACUGGCCCUAGAAUACUUUGGAAAUGAGAGACCGCAUGGAUACUCAUCUGAAUAGAUUCAAUAUUGAUGACACCCGAGGGAAGAAAGAAAGACCGGAUGAAGUUGAAGUUCAGUCGAGUUUGGACUGUCCUGUAGAAGAAGGUAGUAUUUUGAUCCCCUUCUUUCAACCAGUUGACUCGAGAACGUUGUUUAAAAUAGCUUUCCUCUAUUUCCCUCAAGAAGUUCCAUGUCUGGAGCGCUUGCUUCUCCAAUUCAAAUAGCUGAGUCGUUGGCGAGUGUAAAACUUGAACCUGCACAUCUAGCAAAACACGUAAAGUGCAGUGAGGUUCCCGACAGUGUCUCCGGCCUGUGUCCACACAUCAGAUACCACUUGGAGAAAGCUAGGGUGCUUAGAGAGGUAGUUGUAGAAUUUGAAAGGUCUGUUGCCAGAGGAUGGGAUUUUAGUAGCUAGGUCAAGGGUACAAGGGGUGUGGUCGGAGGUUAGGUUUGGAUGGAAGUAGGCUGAGCAAUGAGGAAAAAUGUUAAAAACAGGAUUGUUGAUCAGCAGCCGAUCAAGUUUUUUAGCUAUUGGGGAUUCAGGCCGAUGAUUUGUCCAGGUGAAAAGAGGCCCCUGAUACCGCAGGUCGAAGAGACCCAACUGAACAAGGCAAGCCUUUAGCUCAACCAUAUCUGUUGUGAGGGAGUAUACAUCAGGGAGUGAAUGCUCCACUGGGUGGAUGAUCUGGUUGAAGUCACCACCAAGUAUCCAAGAUGGCUGUGAAGAUGAACAUGGCACAACCAUGAAUCUGAACCUCACAGGUGACAGACUGCCUUGACUGAUGGAGAACUCGAACAGCAAUAGUAUUUCUCCAUAUGAUCACAAUCCUUCCAUCAGCAUCAGAAGCAUGGUUUGAGGUGUAGUUCCAACCUCGACAAAUCUUUCCCAUUAUUUGACUCAAGUUUUGAUCUUUUAUGUGUGUUUCUAGAAUAGUACCAAAAAGGGGCUGAUGAGUAGCUAUCCAAUCACAAAAAGGCUUAUGUUUGACCGGGUCAUUUAGACCUCGGACAUUCCAAAAAAAUAGUUUAUUAUACAUAGGGGUUUAGUCAAUGGUCUCUUCAUGGAGAAGAGAACCAUCUGGAGCCAAAACAGAGAAAGAGUUUUUUGAGAGAUUGACAGAUGAGGGACAAGGCUGAGGGAGAGUAAGGGUCUGAGUCAGGGGUGAUUUAAAAGAGGCAAAAUAGGAGAUUUGAUCAGUGAAAGAAGGGAAGGUUUUUGGGUUUGAGGCAGGUCGAGGUCUUUUUAGGGAUGGGGCAUAGGAGGAAUCAGGUGGGCUUAAAGGGUCGGAGGGGAUUUGAGGGUUAGAGGGAGUAGGGAUGAGGGGUCCGGAAGAGAAUGGUUUUUUGGGAUGGCUUUUUACUAAGUUGAGAGGCAGUUUAAAGGGAGUGGUUUUGAUAGUGGUAUUGACUGAAGAGUCAUGAAGGUUACCAUGGGUGGGAGUUAAAGGGAAGAUAGUUUUUGGAUCAGAGAUAGGGAUGGGGUGUGAGGGAGGUAUGGCAGUGGAGGAUGAAGCAACAUCAACUUUAGUAUUACUUUGUGGGUCUAAGGGGCCUUUAUUUUUUUCCCUUGAUGUAGCAUCAGUUGAUUUGGGCACUUUCUUUGCAGGUGUAUUCACUGACUUUUCAGGCGGGGGAAGGAGGAGGCAGUUACGAGCUAUAUGGCCAAGCUCCUUACAAUGCGAGCAGGUAGGCGGAAUCCAGGGGUAAGCCACCUGAACCUCUACGACCUCACCAUUUUCCCUACUGAAUUCAACUACACUCGGCAGAGGCUUUGAAAGAUCAACAGCCACUUUCACAUGAGAGAGAGUUAAACUCACCAAGUUUUUAGUGAAAUCAUCGGUUUCCUUUGGCUCACCAACUAAACCUGCAAUAAGGCUUAAUCCAUAUGUAUGGCGGAGGUCAAGAGGGACUCCAGUCAGAUGAGCCCAUAACUGGAUAGUUUCCAGAGGGGGCUUAGUAGCGGAUGCUGACGAAGACCACUGAACAUCAUGAAACAUUGAUUCACCUACAUACCAUGCACUCUUCUCAAGUAUUUUCUGUCUCAAGUAGUCAGAAGGAAUCCAAACUAACAUUGAGCGGGAGGAAGGGUUAGUAUGAAUUUCCACUCUUUUCCCUUUUCCCCACAUAUGAUUGAGCACACUUUGUAUUUGGUUGAAUAGAGGCGGUCGUCCAUUAAACCAGCAGAUGAUGAAAUCUUUGUGUAUCUCAGCACCUUGUUGGAAUACGCUAUCAGGGAUUAGUACGCGAGGAACGCCUUUGUCAGUUAGAGUGACCGGUGCAAGACGCUUUAGGGUUUUGUCUUCGACCUUCCGAAGACGUUCAACAAGGGGAGGCACAUAAGUUGAAUGUGGCCGAGCUUGGGACACACCGACAGGGUCAGAAGUUGGGGGUAAGUUUGAGGUACAAUUUUUUGUUGAAGGAUUAGAGGUUGAGGGUAAGAGGGUGGGGUUUGAGACAGAGGGACAUGAUGGUUUAGAAGGCAAAGGCUUUGGGAUGAGAGGAGACAUACCAGAAGCCUUAUUAGUUUGGAUCGGAGAAGAGGGUUUAGGAGAUAAGACUUUAAAAUUUUUUAAGUUAAAGUGAACAGUGUUUCCAGAUCUAAAAGUUUCAGAGGUGGAACACACAGUGGCUUCAGAUGCUAGACCAACAGGGAUGGCACAAGCAGCAGUUUUUGAGACAGAGCUCUUCACUACAGGCCCCAAUAAGUGAGCAGUUCGCAGUGAUGAGCGGGUGGGUUUAGGAGAAGAAGAGAGUGGGGGGGGGGAAGUCAGGGUCAGGAGGGUCCAGUGGGUGGGGUGACAGGCAUGAGGCUAUCACCAGAGGUGAGACGCGGCGGAGACAGGGCGGAGACACUGUUCGGAGGGAACCAGGGGUUCGCCAUAUGACGGCACUGUUACCAACUAUUUUCUUUUUCCGGAAAUCCUGAAAUUGGAUAUUUGUAUGCACUUUAUUGUUAAGAUACUCAUAAUUUAAUGUUCGCCAAACUCGAAAUAUAUUUCUUUCACUAACUA